CAAACGACUCUCGGCAACGGAUAUCUCGGCUCACGCAUCGAUGAAGAACGUAGCAAAAUGCGAUACUUGGUGUGAAUUGCAGAAUCCCGUGAACCAUCGAGUUUUUGAACGCAAGUUGCGCCCAAAGCCAUUCGGCUGAGGGCACGUCUGCCUAGGCGUCACGC
rnacentral:rRNA from 1 species